rnacentral:lncRNA from 1 species
GUUAUAAUUUCAAGCAAUAAAUACUGUCAUAGUAUGUGUUCUAAGCAAGUCGAACUGUCGAAAUCAUGAUAUAUACAGGCUACAAGAAGGUAUGAAAUAUACAAUUAUAUUUACAAGGGCCCACAAAAAAAGGAUUGUUCGCUCAUACAAAGCCAUGGAACUUGCUUUGGCGAUUAGAUAAAUAUUAGCUAAAUGAGUUAAUAUUGAUACCCUUUCAAUAGUGAUCAAUACAUUAAAGUUAACAAUAUAAACAUUUAUAUUUGUUAAUGUAUUGAUCUAUUGAGAGGAUAUCAAUGUUGACUCAAUGGCUAUUAAUAUUGAUUUAGAAUGUAAGGGUGUGUAAUCCAAGUGAGAAUAUAUACAUUUUAAGACCUAACCAGGAACGACUGCGAAAAAUGCAGCACAAGGUCCUCUGGUAGGAAUUGAACCUACGGCCCUGCGAUUCCGGUGCAGCGCUCUAACCAACUGAGCUACAGAGGCCAGCUGUUAAGCUUUAACCGUAAGUUCAUGUAUAUUUAGGUAAUCGGGUGUGCGGGUUGUGAUAAGGUGGACUUCAAUAAUGGUUUCUUGCACUUCACUUGGUGGAAUUAAUUUAGAAUGUAAGGGUUUGUAAUCCAAGUGAGAAUAUAUACAUUUUAAGACCUAACCAGGAAUGACUGCGAAAAAUGCAGCACAAGGUCCUCUGGUAGGAAUUGAACCUACGGCCCUGCGAUUCCGGUGCAGCGCUCUAACCAACUGAGCUACAGAGGCCAGUAUAAUCUCCAAAGCAAGUUCUAUGGCUUUGUAUUAGGCCCUGUUUACAUGAGACCACAACAAAGUCAAACCGGGACCAUUUUGUUUUGCUCAUAGUAUGAUCUAUAAUAGAUGUUCACAAGCGACCAGGAUGAAAAUAACUCGACAGACCAGUCUCAAGUCAUUCUGCCGGCUGGAUCAAGCCGAUUGACUUUAGACUGGCAUGAAUUCAGACUGGCAUGAAUGUAAACACAAAUACAUUUCAGACCGGUCUUGGCUGUAACCUUGACAUUGGAACAACAUAUGCUAACAAAAGCCAUCUGAACAAGAAAAUUGCCUAACAAGGGGAAUAAAUUGAAAAUUUUGUGAUUUUUGUACUGAUCUCAUGUAAACAUGUUGACAAUUUAAAUUUUCCUUCCAGUUUGACUUCGUCCUGGUUUCAUGUAAACGGGGCCUAAGAGCAGAACAAUCCUUCCUUUGUGUUAUCUAUAUUGUACUAUCAUAGUAAAUAGCUGUAUUUCUAUUUAAUAUCCAGACAACCCAGGUAGAAUGUUCCUAAAUUCCCUGAAUAUAUUGAGGAUACAUGUCUGAGUCCCUCAUACUAUUGUUUAUAUGUUUCUGAGAAUUUCCAGGCUCACAAUUUUAUGCAUAAAGAAACUGUUUAAGGGGCCACGUCCAUAUUCAUGUUGCCACAACAACAUCGAAUCGACAUUAUAAGUGGGUGGGUUUUAUGUGAACUUAUCUCUGUUAUCUUGUGGCAAUUUGACAAUUAAUGCCAAUAAAUGAUCAAUAAUUGACGUUAAAUUAUUAAUUGACAAUGAAUUACAGUAUCUAGCCGACUCAUCACAGAAAAUUACAAAUUGAGUUGCAUUAUGCCCUGAUAUGCCCUACUUUAUUAUUUUAUUUAUUUAAUGCCAGACUAUUUAACUCUGUCUGAUCCCAGAUGAUUUUACUUAUCAAGGGGAGAGAGCUGGUGGUAAUGGGUUAACUGUCAUAUCUGCCCAUGUGCCUAGUUACCCCCUUCAUGUCAACUAUGCCACAUAAAUUGCACCCUACUUUAUUAUUCUACUUUGUCUAACACCAGACGACUUUACUUGUCAAGGGGAGAGGGCUCCCACUUAAUGGGUUAGAGUACCAUUCAGCAAAGAUUCUAUUGGUUACAAAUUAUCUUCACCGGUAACAUAAACGUUCAUUUGGAUUGUGACGGAUAUAAACUGUAUUGAAAUGAUCCAACUGAAUCAAAGUAUGUAAUUGUGAGAAGUAUUUUCAAAAGUAGGUUGUUUAAUUACUGAUUGAAAAAUAAGAAAAUCAUUCAAAGAAAUUCUUAUUUUUCAGGUAGUUAAACAAUCUACUGUUUGCAACUGUAGCUAGUGAAUAGUCUACUUUGCUGUAUGAUUGAUUACAGUGAUUACAGGUUUUGAAGAAACAAUUGUUUAGUAUCUGUGUGUUUAUAUUAUGGACAUGGAUUAAACAAUUAACAUAGAUUAAGAUACUUAAUUGAAAGAACUUAAUCUAUAUAUAUGUGUAUGUAUACUGUACAUAAAUUUAUUCUAUGUUUAAAUCUUUUUGUGUAGAGGAUGCUCAAACCCUUUUAUCAGGAUCUCAACCCCUUGUCUAUUGGUACUGGACCUCUGGAAGAGAUAAGUUUGAUUUCAUUGAUUGCAGAGGGAAUGUUUGUGAAAAAUUCAAAUUGUGCAAUAUAGCCAACAACCUGCAGUUUAUGAUAAUGCACAAUUUAUGAUAAUGAUAUUAUAUUGAUCAUUAAUGUAAUGCAUGUAUUGUACAUGCAGGAUAUACCGUAAAUCUCCAAAUAUAAGCCCCCCAUGUAUAAGUCCCCCCC